UACGAAGGGAGCUAGCGUUGUUCGGAAUCACUGGGCGUAAAGCGCACGUAGGCGGAUGUGUCAGUCAGGGGUGAAAUCCCGGAGCUCAACUUCGGAACUGCCUUUGAUACAGCACGUCUUGAGUCCGAUAGAGGUGGGUGGAAUUCCUAGUGUAGAGGUGAAAUUCGUAGAUAUUCGCAAGAACACCAGUGGCGAAGGCGGCUCACUGGCCCGAUACUGAUGCUGAGGCACGAAAGCGUGGGGAGCAAACAGG
rnacentral:rRNA from 1 species